rnacentral:rRNA from 1 species
GAGUAACGACAAUGGGUGUGAAAAACAUCCACGCCGAAAGACCAAGGGUUCCUGCGCAACGUUAAUCGACGCAGGGUUAGUCGGUUCCUAAGGCGAGGCUGAAAAGCGUAGUCGAUGGGAAACAGGUUAAUAUUCCUGUACUUCUGGUUACUGCGAUGGAGGGACGGAGAAGGCUAGGCCAGCUUGGCGUUGGUUGUCCAAGUUUAAGGUGGUAGGCUGAAAUCUUAGGUAAAUCCGGGGUUUCAAGGCCGAGAGCUGAUGACGAGUCGUCUUUUAGAUGACGAAGUGGUUGAUGCCAUGCUUCCAAGAAAAGCUUCUAAGCUUCAGGUAACCAGGAACCGUACCCCAAACCGACACAGGUGGUCGGGUAGAGAAUACCAAGGCGCUUGAGAGAACUCGGGUGAAGGAACUAGGCAAAAUGGCACCGUAACUUCGGGAGAAGGUGCGCCGGCUAGGGUGAAGGAUUUACUCCGUAAGCUCUGGCUGGUCGAAGAUACCAGGCCGCUGCGACUGUUUAUUAAAAACACAGCACUCUGCAAACACGAAAGUGGACGUAUAGGGUGUGACGCCUGCCCGGUGCCGGAAGGUUAAUUGAUGGGGUUAGCGCAAGCGAAGCUCUUGAUCGAAGCCCCGGUAAACGGCGGCCGUAACUAUAACGGUCCUAAGGUAGCGAAAUUCCUUGUCGGGUAAGUUCCGACCUGCACGAAUGGCGUAACGAUGGCGGCGCUGUCUCCACCCGAGACUCAGUGAAAUUGAAAUCGCUGUGAAGAUGCAGUGUAUCCGCGGCUAGACGGAAAGACCCCGUGAACCUUUACUGUAGCUUUGCACUGGACUUUGAGCCUGCUUGUGUAGGAUAGGUGGGAGGCUUUGAAGCGUGGACGCCAGUUCGCGUGGAGCCAUCCUUGAAAUACCACCCUGGCAUGCUUGAGGUUCUAACUCUGGUCCGUAAUCCGGAUCGAGGACAGUGUAUGGUGGGCAGUUUGACUGGGGCGGUCUCCUCCUAAAGAGUAACGGAGGAGUACGAAGGUGCGCUCAGACCGGUCGGAAAUCGGUCGCAGAGUAUAAAGGCAAAAGCGCGCUUGACUGCGAGACAGACACGUCGAGCAGGUACGAAAGUAGGUCUUAGUGAUCCGGUGGUUCUGUAUGGAAGGGCCAUCGCUCAACGGAUAAAAGGUACUCCGGGGAUAACAGGCUGAUACCGCCCAAGAGUUCAUAUCGACGGCGGUGUUUGGCACCUCGAUGUCGGCUCAUCACAUCCUGGGGCUGAAGCCGGUCCCAAGGGUAUGGCUGUUCGCCAUUUAAAGUGGUACGCGAGCUGGGUUUAGAACGUCGUGAGACAGUUCGGUCCCUAUCUGCCGUGGACGUUUGAGAUUUGAGAGGGGCUGCUCCUAGUACGAGAGGACCGGAGUGGACGAACCUCUGGUGUUCCGGUUGUCACGCCAGUGGCAUUGCCGGGUAGCUAUGUUCGGAAAAGAUAACCGCUGAAAGCAUCUAAGCGGGAAACUUGCCUCAAGAUGAGAUCUCACUGGGAACUUGAUUCCCCUGAAGGGCCGUCGAAGACUACGACGUUGAUAGGCUGGGUGUGUAAGCGUUGUGAGGCGUUGAGCUAACCAGUACUAAUUGCCCGUGAGGCUUGACCAU